UUUGUGUGUCUGUUUAAAUAUUAACUUCCAUUCCCUGAUAAGCAGCUGCUGGGUGAGAUCUGUAUGAAUGUCCAGGCUAUCGGAGAGUACAGCUCACUCCUCUCCACAUCAGCAGAGACUGAUACUCCUGACAGUCCGGACUCUCACCCACAUCUGGUCAUGCAGCAACAAGGAAACAACACAGAAUAUAAAGCAAAACAUUAUAAAGGGAGACAUUUGAAGCUGAAAGAUUUGAAACAUUGUCAGUUUUCCUGCAGUGCAACUCAGGUCGGAAUAAAUGACACUCAGACAGGUUUGCUGGUUUAAUGUGCAUACGGGUGAGAACUCAGCGGAGACUCGCACCCUGGAACAGUUGUCAGGCUUUAUUUAUACUUCAAGCAUAUUUGUGUAGCAUGUUGUGAAGAGAUUUUUUAGGAUUUUGGGAUUUUUAUUAUGUUAUGCUUAAAAGUACGUUUCAUUAUCUAAAUGUGUUUGCUCUUUUCAGUAUUCAGCUUAAACUCUGCAACUCUGUGCAGACUCCUAAAUGGGGAAGUUACACAGGAAGCCUGCAGAUCUAUUUUCUCUCUUCCUGUAUGUGCUCUCUGAAUAAAGACUCUUUCUUUUUAUUGCACAGUGCGAGUCUCCCUGAGUCUCGACCGUGUACACGUUAAACCUGUCUGAGCGUUUUAUUCUGACCUGAGUUGCAUAACAGGAAAACUCCUGACAUUUCUUGGUCCUUCGAGCCGGAUGAGACACAGCAUUUUUGUGAGAUCCCACAGGAAAGCCUCACCGAGUCCUGACGCCGUGAGAAGCCCACGCUGAAGUCUGUCGACAGCUCCUCUCUAGGUAGAGGAUAUAAAGUCCAGAGACGUGACAUUCGGGUUCUGGCCAGCGUUUUUAUAAGUGGUCCACGGCGGUGGGGGUCGAUGAGGUAGACCUGAGAGACCGGCAGCAACCAGGUGAAUAUUAACACUCAGACACCUCGCGUAAAACGUCUAGGCUCGGCUCGCCCAGAGGGGUUGGUAGCAUUCCUAAAAGUAAACGCUCGCCUGAAAAAGGGGCUAGAAGCUAUUUUAGGGGGAUUUCUAAAUGUAAACGCUCGCCUGAAAAAGGGGCUAGAAGCUAUUUUAGAUAAACCUGGUCCAUAAGACGUAGUACGCGUUGAAAAGGUAUUGUUGUUGUUUUAUUUUUGUUGGUGGAAUAAGUUGAUUUUACAGCACAAUAAGGAGGCUGAACUAUUCCACUGUUUUGUUUGCUGUUGGCCACCCAAGUACUGGUGAAAAGAGAGAAACAGGUCGUGUUGACACCGCUUUCAAGAAUAGCUUGAAAGUAGAAGGCCGUGUCAACUACCUCUCUCGAUUCUCGUGCCAGAGAAGGUGCCGCAGUUGUGUAGCUGUAAAUCAUUAAAAUAAAAUUAAGAGGAUUAAAAUGGGUAACUCACUGCUGACGAGCAGUGGUUAGGAAAGAAAUGUCCAGGUGCCGGACAAAUUAGUGCAUAUAGAUGGAGAAAUCCAAAGGAAACUAAAUGUCCCACGUGGGAGGGAAAAUGCAUUGGCUAAAUUAUAAGAAACCCUCCAAGCAGAAAUAAAUAUUGAAAAGGAAGCUAAAAAGAAAACAAAGAGUACACAAGAGCUGUAAUAUUUUAAAGCAUGGAAAGUGGAAUGAAGUGGAAUAAACAAAAGGUUAAAUUAAGGUUAACUUAAAUUAAAGCAAAGCUUAUCUAGUGAUAAGCAUGAUAAUAGGAGAUAAUAGGAAGGUUAACAACCUGUAAACUGGUAUUAACAAUGAAACAAAAUUGGGAAGACAACCAAGCUGAAUGAAUAGAAUGCGUGAAACCAGAUAAUUCACACGAAAAUAUAUCAAAUAAAAAAGAGAGAUGCAUAAGGCAUAUUAAGGCUGUGUCAUUGUUCAACCAAGGAAAAUGUCUCCAGCUUGGGAAGGUGUGAUUUGCAGAUUCACACAGACCCGUGAUGGAUACAUAAUAAAAUAUAAACUAAUAUACUAUUGUAUAUUAGUAGUAAAGUAGUGAAGUAGUGUAUUGUAAUAUACUAUUGCUGUUACAAAAAAGGAAAAACAAUACAAUGAUAACACUAAUAAUGACAUACAGUCAGUUAUGAUAUGAGGUGAAUGAUUGUUAAAAGUAGUCUGAUUCAAGCUCAAGGUUUGCUCAAACUCAGUACAAUGAUGUGAUAUGAGAUGAAGAAAAUAAGGAAUUAACUACACUAAUCAGGUGCAUAGAGACACUUGACCUGCUCGUAAACCUGUCAUCUUAGAUGAGACUUCGUUAGGAUGAAGAGCAAACCUAUACUAACAACUAAUGAGAAGCUGAAUUAAAUAUGUGGUCACUACCAAGCUAAUGAGGAGCGGUGACGCGCAUGGAGAUGCUGGUUUUGUUCACUACAAUUGUAUAAAUAGAGUUUGAAUUCAUUACUGUGGAUGUACAGUGAGUGACCUCUAUAUAUCUUGAAAAGCAUGUCUGAAAUACUCGUAUGAAAGCCUAUUUUGAGUGAUUUUAACUGUGUAAAUGCUGUGAGUAGUAGGUUUUGAGUGAUUGGGUGUGAUUUGUACAAAAAUAAUAAAACAUAAGUAAUAAUAACACUACAAAGGUUCAUAGUGGAAGUGGAAGUUUUGAGUUUUGAGAGAAAAGGCAGUGUGUGUGAUGAUUCCUGAUGUCUGAAAGAGCUCAAUUUAAAAGUGUGUGUGAAAUAAGGUGUUUCGUUUUUAGAUCAAGAUUUAGUAGAAUUAAAGAGGUUUUAUAGACUAUGAAUACAAAGAGAAACAAAAGAGUUCGAUUAGUCUGCAGAAACAGGAAAUAUGUGUGCCUGUGGUGUGUCAAGACAGCCCACAGAGAGAAACAGAACUCUAUGAAUAGACUCUAUGAAUAGAAUGAAUAGACAACACAUACUCAAAUUGUUAUAUGUGAAAUUAUUUCUGGAAAGGGUCAGAGGAGAUAAUUUGAACUUAGAACUCAGUGAUAUGAUGCAUGAAUUAUUAUGGCAAUAAACACUUGCAAUGAAGAAAGCAGCUUACACUCAAUUAAUAUGAACGCAAAGCCUUGAUGCCAUAGGCAAUUUGUUUUUGUUUUUGUUUGUUUGUUUUGUAAGUUUGGAAAACAAAUUUGUGAUCAUACUUGUGGAUCACAGUGACAUAUAAUGAUUAGGCACAUGAUUUAACAAUGACGAGUUUUAGAGCUGUGAGCUAUGAGCUAUAAGCAAUGCAAAGUUUUUCCUAACUUAAAAGUUUGAAAUAUGUAAGAUGUAUGAAUUCUUUGAGAAAUAGGAAUUGCCUACAAUGCCUUAAGUCAAAAUGUAGUGUUGCAUCUACAAAGAAGAAAGCGGAAGAAGCAUUCAGUAACUUGAAGCUGGUUUCAGUGAUGUUUUUGUAGACGGUUCAGCCUAGGACGAAACUGUGUAGGCUAUGCAGUAACCACAGCAGAUAGAGUUGUAGAAGCAAAACCGUUGACAUCCUCACACACGCAGGCCAAGAUAUAAAUAUAUACACUGACAGACAGUAUGUUUUUUCAGCUGUGCAACACUUUGAGAUCUUCUAAAGACACUAUUAGAAGUAAUUAUAUUGCCAAAACGGUUAGCAUUUUGUAAAUGUGCUGCACACCAGAAAGGCUGCUCAGAGGUCACUAAAGGCAAUAACUUGGCAGACCAAAGCCGCAAAAGCAGCAGCAC
rnacentral:lncRNA from 1 species